rnacentral:rRNA from 1 species
AGUCGAACGAUGAUCCCAGCUUGCUGGGGGAUUAGUGGCGAACGGGUGAGUAACACGUGAGUAACCUGCCCUUGACUCUGGGAUAAGCCUGGGAAACCGGGUCUAAUACUGGAUAUGACCUUCUGGCGCAUGCCAUGUUGGUGGAAAGCUUUAUUGCGGUUUUGGAUGGACUCGCGGCCUAUCAGCUUGUUGGUGGGGUAAUGGCCUACCAAGGCGACGACGGGUAGCCGGCCUGAGAGGGUGGACGGCCACACUGGGACUGAGACACGGCCCAGACUCCUACGGGAGGCAGCAGUGGGGAAUAUUGCACAAUGGGCGCAAGCCUGAUGCAGCGACGCCGCGUGGGGGAUGAAGGCCUUCGGGUUGUAAACCUCUUUCAGUAGGGAAGAAGCGAAAGUGACGGUACCUGCAGAAGAAGCGCCGGCUAACUACGUGCCAGCAGCCGCGGUAAUACGUAGGGCGCAAGCGUUAUCCGGAAUUAUUGGGCGUAAAGAGCUCGUAGGUGGUUUGUCGCGUCUGCCGUGAAAGUCCGGGGCUUAACUCCGGAUCUGCGGUGGGUACGGGCAGACUAGAGUGAUGUAGGGGAGACUGGAAUUCCUGGUGUAGCGGUGAAAUGCGCAGAUAUCAGGAGGAACACCGAUGGCGAAGGCAGGUCUCUGGGCAUUAACUGACGCUGAGGAGCGAAAGCAUGGGGAGCGAACAGGAUUAGAUACCCUGGUAGUCCAUGCCGUAAACGUUGGGCACUAGGUGUGGGGGACAUUCCACGUUUUCCGCGCCGUAGCUAACGCAUUUAGUGCCCCGCCUG